rnacentral:rRNA from 1 species
CGUGUAGGCGGUCUGUUAAGUCUGAUGUGAAAGCCCGGGGCUCACCCCCGGAAGUGCAUUGGAUACUGGCGGACUCGAGUCUCGGAGAGGAGGGUGGAAUUCCUGGUGUAGCGGUGAAAUGCGUAGAUAUCAGGAGGAACACCGGUGGCGAAGGCGGCCCUCUGGACGAUGACUGACGCUGAGACGCGAAAGCGUGGGGAGCAAACA